AAACACUGGCGGCAGCCUAACACAUGCAGUCGAACGAGACCUUCGGGUCUAGUGGCGCACGGGUGUGUAACGCGUGGGAAUCUGCCCAAAGGUUCGGAAUAACUCGGGGAAACCCGUGCUAAUACCGGAUAAUGUCGCAAGACCAAAGAUUUAUUGCCUUUGGAUGAGCCCGCGUAGGAUUAGCUUGUUGGUGGGGUAAAGGCUCACCAAGGCGACGAUCCUUAGCUGGUCUGAGAGGAUGAUCAGCCACACUGGGACUGAGACACGGCCCAGACUCCUACGGGAGGCAGCAGUGGGGAAUAUUGGACAAUGGGCGAAAGCCUGAUCCAGCAAUGCCGCGUGAGUGAUGAAGGCCUUAGGGUUGUAAAGCUCUUUUACCCGGGAUGAUAAUGACAGUACCGGGAGAAUAAGCUCCGGCUAACUCCGUGCCAGCAGCCGCGGUAAU
rnacentral:rRNA from 1 species